rnacentral:rRNA from 3 species
UGAAUUAAUGCAAACUGCAUACUGCUUUGAACAUCGACAUCUUGAACGCAUAUUGCGGCCAUGGGUUAGCCUGUGGCCACGCCUGUCCGAGGGUCGG